rnacentral:rRNA from 1 species
UAGUGAGUUUGAUCCUGGCUCAGGGUGAACGCUGGCGGCGUGCCUAAGACAUGCGAGUCGAACGCAAGUAGAAAUACUUGAGUGGCGGACGGGUGAGUAACGCGUGAGAAUCUGCCUUCUGGUCGGGGACAACAGUUAAGAAAUGACUGCUAAUACCGGAUGUGCCGAAAAGGUGAAAGAUUAAUUGCCAGAAAGAAGAGCUCGCGUCUGAUUAGCUAGUUGGAGAGGUAAAGGCUCACC